UAUACAAUUUAACCCUGGUUGAAGUUGAAAUAUAUCUAAUGAUGCUAUAUACGUUUAUUAUAUUAUGCUAAUCCUUGAGCAUAUAAAUCUGAGGUGGUUGUAGUAGUGAGAUCUAUCGUUAUAAAGAAAUUUAGUGAUGGUCGUUAGAUAGUAGAAGAGGCUAAAGCACAGUGCCAGCAGCCGCGGUUAUACUGUAAUUCUUCUUAUUUCUUUUUUGGUUAAAACUUUUAUUGAAAUUUAAAUAAAAUUGGUUGGUUAAAUAGGUUUUUUUUUGAGAAUACUUCAAUGAUGUGUAAAGUUCCAGUAUAAAGACAGGGAUUAGAUACCCCUUUAUUAGGAUAAAAAAUUUUUGUCCACGGUUUCAAACUGAAAGGGUUUGGCAGCAAACUAAAUUCUUCCGGGGGAAGGUGCUUAUUAAAGAGAUGAUCCGCUUAUUAAUUUACUAUAUCUAGUGUUAGUGUAUAUCCGUUUGUAUAUUCACGCUUAGAGGUCAUAAGUGGGUAAAUAUUAAAUAAUU
rnacentral:rRNA from 1 species